rnacentral:rRNA from 1 species
AUUGAACGCUGGCGGCAGGCCUAACACAUGCAAGUCGAACGAGUGGCGGACGGGUGAGUAAUGUCUGGGAAACUGCCUGAUGGAGGGGGAUAAAUACUGGAAACGGUAGCUAAUACCGCAUACCAUCGGAUUUGCCAAGCUGGGAUUCGCUAGUAGGUGGGGUAAUGGCUCACCUAGGCUACGAUCCCUAGCUGGUCUGAGAGGAGGACCAGCAACACUGGAACGGAGACACGGUCCAGACUCCUACGGGAGGCAGCAGUGGGGAAUAUUGCACAAUGGGCGCAAGCCUGAUGCAGCCAUGCCGCGUGUAUGAAGAAGGCCUUCGGGUUGUAAAGUACUUUCAGCGGGGAGGCGUUACCCGCAGAAGAAGCACCGGCUAACUCCGUGCCAGCCGCCGCGGUAAUAC